rnacentral:rRNA from 1 species
GUCAGGCGGGGCCACCCGCCGAGUUUAAGCAUAUAAAUAAGCGGAGGAGAAGAAACUUACGAGGAUUCCCCUAGUAACGGCGAGCGAACCGGGAUCAGCCCAGCUUGAGAAUCGGGCGGCCGCGCCGCCCGAAUUGUAGUCUGGAGAAGCGUCCUCAGCGACGGACCGGGCCCAAGUCCCCUGGAAAGGGGCGCCGGGGAGGGUGAGAGCCCCGUCCG